rnacentral:tRNA from 1 species
UCCCCGGUGGUUCAGAGGUUAAGAUUCUGCGCUCCCAACGCAGGGGGCCAAGGUUCGAUCCCUGGUCAAGGAA